ensembl:snoRNA
ACUCUCCCAGCUCUGCAUGGUUACACUUGGCCUUACUCAUGUGACUUUCAUAAUGUGGAGAGUUCUCAGGAUGUCAGGUUGGCCUCUCUUUCCUUGAGGGGUCUAAAGGA